CCUACGGGAGGCAGCAGUAGGGAAUCUUCCACAAUGGACGAAAGUCUGAUGGAGCAACGCCGCGGGAGUGAAGCAGGGUUUCGGCUCGUAAAGCUCUGUUGGCAGUGAAGAAAGAUAGAGGUAGUAACUGGCCUUUAUUUGACGGUAAUUACUUAGCAAGUCACGUAUAACUACUUGCAAGCCGCCGCGGUAAUACGUAGGUGGCAAGCGUUGUCCGGAUUUAUUGGGCGUAAAACGAGUGCAGGCGGUUCAAUAAGUCUGAUGUGAAAGCCUUCGGCUCAACCGGGGAAUUGCAUCAGAAACUGUUGAACUUGAGUGCAGAAGAGGAGAGUGGAACGCCAUGUGUAGCGGUGGAAUGCGUAGAUAUAUGGAAGAACACCAGUGGCGAAGGCGGCUCUCUGGUCUGCAACUGACGCUGAGGCUCGAAAGCAUGGGGAGCGAACAGGAUUAGAUACCCGUGUAGUC
rnacentral:rRNA from 1 species